CAAUGGGCGCAAGCCUGAUGCAGCGACGCCGCGUGAGGGAUGACGGCCUUCGGGUUGUAAACCUCUUUCAGUAGGGAAGAAGCGAAAGUGACGGUACCUGCAGAAGAAGCGCCGGCUAACUACGUGCCAGCAGCCGCGGUAAUACGUAGGGCGCAAGCGUUAUCCGGAAUUAUUGGGCGUAAAGAGCUCGUAGGCGGUUUGUCGCGUCUGCCGUGAAAGUCCGGGGCUCAACUCCGGAUCUGCGGUGGGUACGGGCAGACUAGAGUGAUGUAGGGGAGACUGGAAUUCCUGGUGUAGCGGUGAAAUGCGCAGAUAUCAGGAGGAACACCGAUGGCGAAGGCAGGUCUCUGGGCAUUAACUGACGCUGAGGAGCGAAAGCAUGGGGAGCGAACAGGAUUAGAUACCCUGGUAGUCCAUGCCGUAAACGUUGGGCACUAGUUGUGGGGGACAUUCCACGUUUUCCGCGCCGUAGCUAACGCAUUAAGUGCCCCGCCUGG
rnacentral:rRNA from 1 species